GAUUGAACGCUGGCGGCAUGCUUUACACAUGCAAGUCGAACGGCAGCGCGGGCUUCGGCCUGGCGGCGAGUGGCGAACGGGUGAGUAAUGCAUCGGAACGUGCCCAGUAGUGGGGGAUAGCCCGGCGAAAGCCGGAUUAAUACCGCAUACGACCUGAGGGUGAACGCGGGGGACCGAAAGGCCUCGCGCUAUUGGAGCGGCCGAUGUCGGAUUAGCUAGUUGGUGGGGUAAAGGCUUACCAAGGCGACGAUCCGUAGCUGGUCUGAGAAGACGACCAGCCACACUGGGACUGAGACACGGCCCAGACUCCUACGGGAGGCAGCAGUGGGGAAUUUUGGACAAUGGGGGCAACCCUGAUCCAGCCAUGCCGCGUGCGGGAAGAAGGCCUUCGGGUUGUAAACCGCUUUUGUUCGGGAAGAAAUCCUCUGGGCUAAUACCCCGGGGGGAUGACGGUACCGGAAGAAUAAGCACCGGCUAACUACGUG
rnacentral:rRNA from 1 species